CUUUUUCAAAAAUUCAAGUUUCUUUUCAGAUUUCAAUUUCUUUUGUUCUUCAAUUCUUUUCGUCAACUAUGAGCUAUGACCAUAUUUUCCCUAUGACAGGAUCAUAAUACCGCGUAUCUGCUUGCGGUAGGCUGCAAAUCAUCUGGCAGCCAUGUCCUUUGGAACCGCUGGUCUCGCUGGCGGUUUGUCGCUGGUCUCUCUGGCGACAUGUCGCUGGUCUCGCUGACGACAUAAACCCUCAGG
rnacentral:lncRNA from 1 species